rnacentral:rRNA from 1 species
AGCAGCCGCGGUAAUUCCAGCUCCAAUAGCGUAUAUUAAAGUUGUUGCAGUUAAAAAGCUCGUAGUUGAAUUUUAGGCCUGGCCGGGCGGUCCGUCUUUGGCGAGUACUGUCUGUUGUCGGGUCUCCCUUCUGGUGAACCAAUAUGUCCUUUAUUGGGUGUGCUGGGGAGCCAGGACCAUUACCUUGAAAAAAUUAGAGUGUUUAAAGCAGGCUUUUGCUUGAAUAGAUUAGCAUGGAAUAAUAGAAUAGGACGUUGUGGUUCUAUUUUGUUGGUUUCUAGGACCACCGUAAUGAUUAAUAGGGAUAGUUGGGGGCAUUAGUAUUCAAUUGUCAGAGGUGAAAUUCUUGGAUUUAUUGAAGACUAACUAUUGCGAAAGCAUUUGCCAAGGAUGUUUUCAUUAAUCAAGAACGAAAGUUAGGGGAUCGAAGACGAUCAGAUACCGUCGUAGUCUUAACCAUAAACUAUGCCGACUAGGAAUCAGGCGACGUUAUUUUAAUGACUCGCUCGGCGCCUUAUG